rnacentral:rRNA from 1 species
UACGUAGGGUGCGAGCGUUAAUCGGAAUUACUGGGCGUAAAGCGUGCGCAGGCGGAUUGUUAAGCGAGAUGUGAAAUCCCCGGGCUUAACCUGGGAAUGGCAUUUUGAACUGGCAGUCUAGAGUGUGUCAGAGGGGGGUGGAAUUCCACGUGUAGCAGUGAAAUGCGUAGAUAUGUGGAGGAACCCCUAUGGCGAAGGCAGCCCCCUGGGUUACCCCUGUCGCUCAUGUGCGAAAGCGUGGGUAGCAAUCAGG